ensembl:lincRNA linc-39 ncRNA
CAACCAAUAUCAGCCGCCGACAUCUCACGAGUUCCGAUGUGUUUAACUCGCUGUGAGCGUGGCGAGAUGUCCCGCCGGCUGCGAGCAGAAGAGAGGUUGCCGGAAUUGCCGAAUAUCGCCAAUUGCCGAGAAUUCGAUUGCCGAACGGCAAUUGUCGCUCAUUGUAUGCAUAUAAUCACUUCGUCUUCAUGUGACCAACGACUCAGAAAUAACGUUCAAACUGGCGUUGUACUGGCCAAGAUUGAACGUAUUUCAUAAAAAUGACGGAACAUUUUUUUUCUGAUCUUGAUUUUCAGUUGAAUGUAACUGCUACAUUUGUUUUUAAGGAUACAUCACUUUUAAAAAAAGUUUUGAAAAGGGU